rnacentral:rRNA from 4 species
UCGACCUCAGAUCAGACGAGAUGAC